UAAGAGACCAAAGUGGUAUUCCUUUUCACUAUUUAUGCCACGUGGCUAUCAUAAGACCAUGCAAUUUUCUAUUUUUUCACUUUUGUGUAAAAGCUUUCAAGUUUAUGAUUACUAAUUAUAAUAAUAAAAUUAUACUAUACUAAUAAUAAAUGAAUCUAUCAAAUUAAAUAGAGCAAAGUACACUUUAGUAUCAUGUACUUUGGCCUUUUUAGCAUUGUGGGCACGUACUUUGUUUUGUGUCAAUUAAGGAUAUGAACUUUGACUCCAUUUUUACUUUAAGUACAAAUUGCUAACGGUAUCAAAUGACGUUAACGUGGCAUGAUGACGUGGCAUGCUAAUGUGGCGCCAUACAUGAUGCGGUGAUGAUGUGGCAUGCCACGUCAAUGCCACGUCAUACAUGAGUGUCACAUCAUCAAAUUUUGUAUUAUAAUUCAUUUUGUUACCUAAGUAUAAAAAGGUGAAAGCAAAUGUCCUAUAUUGUAAAAAUGUAAAAGUAUAGGUCUUAAAUUACAUUAAAAAAAAAAGAACAAAGUUCAAGUCCUAAAUGCUAAAAAUAUAAAAAUUUUGCUAGUAUAUAAAAAAA
rnacentral:misc_RNA from 1 species